AUUGAACGCUGGCGGCAGGCCUAACACAUGCAAGUCGAACGAGUGGCGGACGGGUGAGUAAUGUCUGGGAAACUGCCCGAUGGAGGGGGAUAACUACUGGAAACGGUAGAUAAUACCGCAUACCAUCGGAUGUGCCCAGAUGGGAUUGGCUUGUAGGUGAGGUAACGGCUCACCUAGGCGACGAUCCCUAGCUGGUCUGAGAGGAUGAACAGCCACACGGGAACUGGGACACGGUCCGGAGACCUACGGGCGGCAGUAGUGGGGAAUAUUGCACAAUGGGGUCAAGCCUGCUGCAGCCAUGCCGCGUGUAUGAAGAAGGCUUUCGGGUUGUAAAUUACUUUCAGCGGGGAGGCGUUACCCGCAGAAUAAGCACCGGCUAACUCCGUGCCAGCAGCCUCGGUAAUUC
rnacentral:rRNA from 1 species